UGGGGGAGUAUUGCACAAUGGGGGGGUAACCCGUGAUGCAGCGACGCCGCGUGGGUGAAGAAGCGCCUCGGCGCGUAAAGCCCUGUCAGCAGGGAAGAAAAUGACGGUACCUGAAGACGAAGCCCCGGCUAACUACGUGCC
rnacentral:rRNA from 1 species